rnacentral:lncRNA from 1 species
GUAUUUCAUCGCCUGUCCUGAACUAUGAACUAAUGAAUUAACAGACCAAGUCCUCCUCUGAUCUACCCACGCCGUACUCCUGGACGAGGAUGAUCUCUUCAAUCUAAAGAGAGUCUGAUAGAGCAGAUUCAAACCGCCUGCAGAGUGUCUCCUUGCUGGGCACCAUCGUCUUCACCUCCUACAUGGAGAAGUCCUGUCGGAAGCGUCUUCCUUGCUUCUCUAAACCAGGACUGCUGCUAUUAAGCAGAUAAAGAUCUCAUCAUUGUCCUCAAGAUUGAGAUCUGAUGUUUAACUCAACCUUAUUCGGAUCCAAUCAUCAUCUAUCCGUACCUCCUCUUGGAGAAGUAUCCGUUCCUCCUCUUGGAGCAGUAUCCGUUCCUCCUCUCGGAGAAGUAUCCGUACCUCCUCUCGGAGAAGUCCCGUCGGAAGCAUCUGUGUUUCUCUAAACCGGGACUGCUGCUUUCGAGCAGAUAAAGGUAUAUAAUCAAGUUUCGUGUGAUUUUUGUGAACAAUUAAAGACGAAAGUGUGACUAUCUCCUCUAACACAUGAUAA